UGAAACCAUUUUUUUGCUCGAGUGCUUUGAAAUUUUCCUUAAUAGUGUGAAAUUGAUGUGGAUGGAAUAAUGAGUUUUAUAGAGACUUUUUUGAUGUAAAACUAUACAUUUUUUUUUGUUUAAUGUGGUAUUUCCAUUUUUAUAUAAUUUACUACCAUUUUAAGAUAGAAGUACAUUUUAAGAUAGAUGCUUAAAUCUUAAUGUACUUUUUCCAUUUUUUAAA
rnacentral:lncRNA from 1 species